GAUUAAGCUUUAAUAACAACUUUUAAUCAUGAUAAAAUAAAAAUGUGAAUAAUAUUAGGCACAAAUGAAACAAGGAAAUAUCUGAAGAUUUCCGAGUGUUAUGACGUUUUCCAAAUGCAAGUCAAAUACCGGUUUUCGAUCAGCGUAUCGCAAUACGUAUCGGUUUCAUGUCUGAACCGGUAAAUACCAGUAACCCGGUUAUAUUGCGCAGCCCUAGUUAAAACCAGUGCUAACACAACAAAGACUCUUGUUACUUUAAGUACCAUGUGCAUACAUUGUUCAAAUGUCCUCUGCAGCAAUAAAAUGACAUCUAGAAAUGGAACAAAAUAGUCCCAGAUCAAGACGACACGAUCCAUCAAGUUGCCUCUAAUCAUUUGCUAAUGACAAGCAUAGGUUGCUGGACUCCAAUUCAAACCUGGACUCCCCAAGGGAUGAACACUAUUUAUACUUGAGAGUCUAUUUAUAUGAAAAGCAAGAAAGUGCUGGCAUCUCAUUGAAGAAGGCUUUUAGUGAGUGAGUGAGUGAGCAGUAACUGUAUCAAGUGCUGUAUGUAAAAUAGUUUUACCACUGGUGUCUUGUUUGUUUGUUUGUUUGUUUGACAAAUCAGCAAUAUUCCAGUUAGAUCCCUGUGGUCUGUGAUUAAACUGGGCCAGGCAAACCUGUGGUUGAUAGCAUGAAAGGCAUACUGUGUGAGUACACUGAUACAAUCAGUAACAAAGUCUUACCAUCCAAUCCCCAGUGACACAAGAUACUGGGACCUAUUCAGCCCUGGAAUUCCAACAAGCCAUUAGCGGUGUAAUUAUUCCCCAUUGUUGUUGUGCAUGUGGAUAAUACACUGGUACAUUAUAAGUAUUGUAAGGUCAUCUGUUGAUUCAGUGUUUUCAGCAUAAGCUCCCUUGGAUGUCAGAACGUUUACAUAGGGGUGUUUAUUAUUAAUAAUGAAACCAAUCAUACUAAAUCAGUUUUGUCAUCGGAGAUCAAUGGAUAUUGAUCAAUGGAUAAGGAAUUUGGUUGCUGAAAUUCAACACAAUUAUAAAAUAUACAUACUGUGUUGGAAAAACAGAGGUAUAUAACGUGAUUAUAUACCUCUGAAUGACUUUGAUUAACCAACCCUAAUCCAGCAUUUACUGAAGUGACUUAGAAUAAAUACAUGGCAGUUAUGUACUCCUUUUCACACUGUGAAUCCUGUUAAUAUCCCAAGACAAUGUAUAUACUCAUGCUGGAGCAUGUAACAGUUACUUGUAAAGAUUGCUCCCAUGAAGUAGUUCAUGGGUCGCUCAGUGGAUCAGGGCUGUGAUCUGGUGAGUACUAUUCAACUACUGUUAAGCGUAUUCCAAUCGCAUGUUUACCUGAGCAAUUUCUAAACUCAGUAACAGUUUUGUGAUUAGUAAUUCUACUGACAUCCCAUUCAAACUUAGGUUUAACACAUAUCCUCAUGAAAAACUAAAUACAUACUUAAAAGAGACACUGUCAAUUGAAUUCUUGACAAGGAGGAUAUACAUAUGGACAAAUAAGAUUUUAAAAGUUUAUUUGUCCAAGCACAAGUAAGCAUUUUCAUCCUUAUCAUUUGGGUUGGAACAGGUUCCCACUAACCUGUUCCUUCUAAUAUAAUGGUUGAAUAUCACUUGAUAUAUGUUGUUUUGUUGACAGUGCCAAAUGUUCUGCUGAUAUAUGCCAUGUUAUAUGUUGUAGGUGAUCAUUGUUAAGUGAAGAUGUUCCUAAGCCUCAAGUAUCUUUAUUAUGUCACAACAAUGUCAUGUCAAAUCCCUAUGUACUUGUUAACAUUAUAUUUAUAAUAUAAAAUGUGAGAAUGUGAUCAAAUAUGAGUUUGUUCAGCUUUUGUGCCAUGGAUAUUCUGAUUUCAACAGGAAUAGAUUUCUGCGAGCAAUAUAUUUAUAACAUCUCUUAGCAUCAUGAUUCUACCAUCAUUUACCUUGAAAAAUAUAUGAUUGAAAUAAAUAUUUAUGUCAACAUAUUU
rnacentral:lncRNA from 1 species